GCCCAGCAUGUAUAGGGGGAGGAGGGGAAAGGUGGGAAUAAUAGGGGGCGGAGAGGCUGCUUUUGUCCGCUGAUUUGGCAGCCUGUUGCCGGGGGCAGCCAGGUUGCUGGGGGGAGGGAGGCAGCUUGUUAGUUGGGGGAGGAGGGCACCUUGUUGCUGGGGGAAGGAGGGCAUGCAGGCUGCGAGGCCGCAGCAGGCAUGGGGAGGCACUUUUCCUCCGCUGGCAGCUCUGCGGGACACCUUUCCCAGUGGCCAGUUACUGCUGCAGGCAGAAGCCAGAGCCGGAGGAGCCAGCCCGAGGAGGAGGAGGUGGAUCCUAGGAUCCAGGGUAAGAAAUGAAGUUCUUAUCUCAGCAGGAUCAUCAUCUGGAGACUUCCUAAUACACUACAGUUGCUACAAUUAAUAAGUAUGCUGUUUUGCUGUGAUGCCAAAUGAACACAGGAUUUUGACUUUACUAUUGUUUCAAGCUGGGUUGAAGGAAGUUUAAUGGAGCAGCACCAAUCUCGCAAGUGCACCACCUCCUGAUCAAGCAUACAAGCAAUCUCUCCAUGUAUCUGUCAGUGGUUUCUCAGGCAGCUUUCAGUGAAUCAGCUCUCCGGCUGAGUCAUAAAAACUGUAUAUGAAAAAAAACCAAACCCAUUUUGAGGUAUAAAGUCUUUCACUUGUCUUGCCCCUUAGGCCUUCCUUCUGGAGACAAUGUUUUCUUGCAGUCCUCCCUGUUUACCAUGCAUACUUAGUUGCAGCAGCCAGCCAGGAGCUCCCUCUUAACAACUAUAGUCCCUUCUUACACCCAUGGCCCUGCUUGUCUUUCAGUCACCCAGUCAGGAAUUCAGUUCUCUCUCCUCUAGCUCUAGGCAGUAACUGGCUAGUUUGAUCCUAUGGCAUCAUUAUGUACGGUCCUUCUGGUUACAGAUUUGUCAUUCUAACAGCCCCUCUGAUUGGAUGCUCUCCUGCAGCCAUACUAGACUGCCUGAAGGAUUUCUCCCUUGCUUUUUUCCCCGAGGGGCAGGGUGAGACAAGGCCAUUGGACCUAUUUCACGCCAUCACAGGAAGGGAAAUACCAAAGGAAAUAUCUGAAAAAGCAAUACAGAAAAUGGUUGAUCCAGCAAUCAUUACUCAUGUGAUUAAUCAUCAUUUUCUGUAAGUCAAUGGCGCUACAUGGGUAAAUAAACAGUUCUCUCGCAUUAUGUACUACAGGAUCAGUCCUAAAGCUUCAUCAAGUUAAUUUCUUUUCUAUUCUCUUUUGUCGAAUUGGUUUUAAUGAAGGGAUAUCUCUUUAAAAUCUAAAACAAGGUGAGAUUGUUUCUUACACAAAGCCACACACAUUUGAUCACAUUUUAGCAAUCAAAGCAUGACAUCUUCAGUGGUGUAUUCAUAAAUAAGCACUAAAAUAUGUUUAUAAAAAUGAAAGAAAAGGUUUGGUAUUCUUUCUGACUAACAUCAUCUGGUGAUAUGUCAUGUUCAAUGUGUCUAGAGAGAUCAAUUUAAAAAAAAAGCUCUUGAAACCAGAAAUCAAACCAUUGUAACCACAAUGUUGCAUGCUGUUUUUCUAGAACUGAAAGACAUUAGAAGGUUGGUAGCAGUAGGCUAAGUUGGUCAGUGUCUUAAAAAAUGGAAUUAUGCAUAGCUGUUAAACUGUGAUAAAAUAAAGGCCAAAGUCAGUCAGUGACAGGCAAAUACAAAUUGUGGUCUAAAGAUUAUAGGCUCAAUUUUAAACAUGGGGAUAGACUGCAGCAUUUAAAAUUCUUCUACUGCUGUUUCUAACUGUGCUAGUUUAACCAUGCAUGAAUAUUCUCUUUUUAGUAUGGAACAUUUUUCUAAUCUUCCUAGUUGGGAUCCGUUCCACAAAACACCUAGCAAUUAUAACACUUAAAGGUUUUCAAAAGUGUUUUUAAAACUGUGUUCAUGCUCUAAUAUGAGGCAAGUUUUUAUUAUUUUGAACCCUGUUUUUGGUUUUUAUAUCAGUGACAGGUUCUCAGAACAGUAAGGCUAACAAGUGUGUGGCGUUAUUGAAGAAGAACAGACAAACAAUAAAGUCUUUGAUGGGCAGACUGGAAAAAAUUGCUUUAAAACACUUGGGAUUGUUCUUUUUUUUUCUACAGUUGCACUAUCCCUACACAUUUUUGAUGUUUCCUUGCAUUUUGAACUAACAUUUCUGUUGAUAAUAAACUUGAAGAAAUAUGGAAAAAUAAUAUGACUAAUUGCCACUGGUAUACAAAUAAAAUUUUUUAGCACUGGCACAAUGUUUGUCUGCCUUUAUGAACCAUAGUCAUGGAAAUCUACAAAAUCAACUAAUUCUAAAUUAAAUGCCUGGCAAAGACAUCCAUGCUACAUCUACACUGCAGGCUUCUUGCUCAAGAAUGGCAGUUCUUGUGCAAAAACUUGUGGAGCGUCUACACUGCAUAUGCGUUCUUCUGCAAGUAAAUUUAAAGUAAAGCGUCUGAACAGAGGGCUUUUUGUGCAAGAGUUAUUCCUCUCCCCAUGAGGAAUAAGCUCUGUUGCACAAGA